rnacentral:rRNA from 1 species
UGGCGGACGGGUGAGUAACGCGUGGGUAACCUGCCUCAUACAGGGGGAUAACAGUUAGAAAUGACUGCUAAUACCGCAUAAGCGCACGAGAUCGCAUGAUAAAGUGUGAAAAACUCCGGUGGUAUGAGAUGGACCCGCGUCUGAUUAGCUGGUUGGUGGGGUAACGGCCCACCAAGGCGACGAUCAGUAGCCGACCUGAGAGGGUGACCGGCCACAUUGGGACUGAGACACGGCCCAAACUCCUACGGAAGGCAGCAG